CAAGCCGGACUGCGUGCACCGCAGGUCCGCCUUCCCGUCUCGCCAGCACAUCUCCGCGCGCUGCUCUUUCUUCGGAACCUUGCUCCACGGGCCGAUGGGCCCCGUGUAGCCCUCCGGAGGGCCAGGCAGCAGCCUCU
rnacentral:SRP_RNA from 14 species